rnacentral:sRNA from 1 species
CGGCCAUGAUCUGCGGGCAGAUCAGAUGCACGUGACAGUCGAUGGCGCCUGCGGUGACGAUGCGCCCGUUGCCCGCGAUGAUCUCGGUGGACGGGCCGACCACCAGGUCCGGAUGGACUCCGGACAUGAUGUCGGGAUUGCCGGCCUUUCCGAUGGCGGCGAUGCGGCCGUCACGGAUGCCGAUGUCGGCCUUGAUGAUUCCCCAGUGGUCGAUGAUCACCGCGCCCGUGAUGACGGUGUCCGGGGCGCCGUCGGCGCGCGUGACGCGGGCCUGGCCCAUCGAUUCGCGCAA